AGCAGCCGCGGUAAUUCCAGCUCCAAUAGCGUAUAUUAAAGUUGUUGCAGUUAAAAAGCUCGUAGUUGAAUUUCGGGGUUCAUACGUUGGUCGGGCUUUUUGGUCUGUACUUAUGUAAUGGAUUCCUACCUUCUGAAUAACCGGCAUGCCAUUAAUUUGGUGCGCCGGGGAAGCAGGACUGUUACCUUGAAAAAAUUAGAGUGCUUAAAGCAGGCUAUCGCCUGAAUACAUUAGCAUGGAAUAAUGAAAUAGGACGGCAUGGUUCUAUUUUGUUGGUUUCUAGGAUCACCGUAAUGAUUAAUAGGGAUAGUUGGGGGCAUUAGUAUUCAAUUGUCAGAGGUGAAAUUCUUGGAUUUAUUGAAGACUAACUUCUGCGAAAGCAUUUGCCAAGGAUGUUUUCAUUAAUCAAGAACGAAAGUUAGGGGAUCGAAGACGAUCAGAUACCGUCGU
rnacentral:rRNA from 1 species